GUCCCCAUCGUCUAGCGGUCCAGGACAUCGGCCUCUCACGCCGAAAACGGGGGUUCGAUUCCCCCUGGGGACGCCA
rnacentral:tRNA from 1 species